AUCCAGCUGAUUAGUCCCAAAUAGAAUGAAACGCGCAUCCUGGAU
rnacentral:hammerhead_ribozyme from 1 species